AAACUUUGCUAAUGUGCGAAAGCUACGACAAGGUUAAUCCGAGUGAUUUGUGCUAAACGAAUCUUUUGUUAGUCCUAGAACCWCUAACGAAUAAGGG
rnacentral:rRNA from 1 species